rnacentral:lncRNA from 1 species
UCUAGAGGCACUGGACUUCUGGGCCCUGUGGGGCCAGCAGCAACCUCUCUGAUGAGUAGGCUGGGGUUGGCCAAGGCCAGGUGCUCCCAGCCCCAGAGCUCUGGGUCUUCCCCUGUAGGGCACAGUGCCUGCAAUUAACACAAGCUUCUGGGAGCUCACUCCCAGAAAAAAAGACUUCUUUGAAUUCUGCUCCCAGCUUAGGGUCAGCUAAUGCCAUCUGUGGUGGCUGGUACAGGGUGAUAAUCGGCUCUGAAGCCAUCUCUUUGAGCCCUAGGAUAGAUGCCAGUCUGCACCAGAGCAGGCAGAAUAUCCAGGCUGCAGCCCUGCCAGGAAUUGCUCUCAGGAAAUAGAACACCCCCACCCCCUCUUUUCUUUUGUUUAAACUUAAACUGGGAAGAUGCUGAGUUGCAGGGUUAUGAGGAAGGGAGUAUAGGACUGUUGCAGCUUUAUAUGCUGAUAUUUUCAUUUUUUUAAAUUCCUGAUCAUGAAAAAAGCAAUACAAGAGUGAUUUUUAAAAUAAUCACUUUGCAUUCUUGUCAGAGCAAUGGAUUGCAAAGCGACAGUGACCCGACAUUGCCUCCAAAUGUUCCAGCCUCUGCCCUCCUUAGCGCCUGAUCUGUCUCUGGUUGAGGCGGACUCUGCUGUUUGUCCAACAUGGGGCAAUGCUGGCUAUUUCUCUGUAGGAAUCCAAGCGCUUAUUAGGAGAAGGUGGAGGGGUAUGAUGGGAACAGCUCCAGACGAGAUGGGAGAGCUUUGGGGUAAAACCUUUAUGAAGAUUAGAAAGCAAGUCUCCCUCAUGUUGCAAACCCCAUAGUGAUUUUAUGGCAGCUUGGAAGAGAGGAUUCCAGAGACAAAUUGCUUUUGAGAGGGUGGACGCUGGGCCAUACGUUUAUCACUGGGCAGGAGUCCACCUGUCCCGAGUUGGAAGUCUGAACUCAUGUUCCUGGAUUCCUCCCAUGCAUCUUGGUGCUGGUGUGGGGCCUGAACUCAGCCAAUCCGCAACACCUCCAGGAGUCUUCCUCUUAGAUGCUGAGGCCACGGAGAAGGAAGCAGCACAAAGAAUGAACCCUGGAGAGGGUGCCAGAGGCAGGCGGGUUCCAGCCAUGUGGCGGCACAGCCUUACUGGGAUAGUCUAGCUGUGUCACUCAGAUGGGGAAGCCAGGCUCCAGCAGUUACAAAACAAGGUCCCAUGACCCCUAGACCCUACUUGCAAAGCUGGGAUUGACGCAAGCUCAUCUAACUCCAAAACCCAAGCUCUUCCCACUGUGACAAGGGAGGGGACAAAUAGGAAAAGGCAGUUUGAGCUUUUCUGGGAAAGGAAAGAAAUGAAUACCUUGGCCUUUGUCCAGAUGUGGCCUGCAGAAUAAAUCCUAUGUGGCAAGGCCGCUUAACCUCUGCCGGGGCUGUGUCAUUACGGUGAUUCUUCACACUAGUUAAAUGCCACGGUGAGGAUGGCACGGGGGAAGAAGAGCUCACGGCAGGCGCCAUCUCCAGAAAGGAUCCACUGCAGGUGGUUGGUGAGUCCAGAUGGCUCCCCCAGAUGACACUGCUGGGUGGCAACCUAAUUAUUUUUCAUUAACUUUUAAUUAUGGAACAUUUCAAACGUGUGCACAAUUAAAGAGAGUCGUACAAUGAACCUCGUGUGUCCGAAACUCAACUUCGACAACGAUCAACUAAAUGCCCAAUCUUGUUUUAUCUGUAUCUCCACACACUUCCCCCUCAUUCAGGAUUAUUUCAAAACAAACCCUGGAUUUAAUCAUUCUAGAUUUAAUAAUUUUAUUCACUACUAUUUCAGUAUGUAUGUCUAAAAGAUAACAAUAUC